AGAAUCAACGCUGGCGGCGUGCCUAACACAUGCAAGUCGAACGAGAAAGUGGAGCAAUCCAUGAGUAAAGUGGCGACCGGGUGAGUAACACGUGACUAACCUACCCUGGAGUGGGGAAUAACCUUCCGAAAGGAGGGCUAAUACCGCAUAAAGUCCUGAGGCUGAGAUGCCAUAGGACCAAAGGAGCAAUUCGCUUUGGGAGGGGGUCGCGGCAGAUUAGCUAGUUGGUGAGGUAAUGGCUCACCAAGGCAUUGAUCUGUAGCCGGCCUGAGAGGGCGCGACGGACCGACGACUAGGAACGUGAAACACGGUCCAGACUCCGUACGGGAGGCAGCAGUGGGGAAUUUUGCGCAAGUGGGGGAAACCCUGGACGCAGCAACGCCGCGUGGAGGAUAGAGGUCGUUUGGAUUCGUAAACUUCCGUUACGUAGUACGGACGAUUAGUGGACGGUAACCGGAAGAA
rnacentral:rRNA from 1 species